AUGGAGACACAGACGACUCUCCUCGUGAUUCUCACUGUAGUUUCAGGUGCAUUUGCUGAUAAAAUUGGACCAAGAGAAGAAGAAACAAAUAUAAUCAGACGUGAAGGAGAAUCUGUGAGACUGAGCUGCACAUUUGAGACAACCAGCAGUAAUAUUUGGCUUUACUGGUACAGACAGCAUCCUAACAGUGAACCUCAGUUUAUACUGCUGAAAGGAGCUCGAUCACAGAGCUCAGCUCAGCGUACAGCAGACAAUCGGUUUAAGUCAACAACAACUCAGUCAACCACUGAACUCACUACUGACAGUUUAACUCUGUCAGAUUCAGCUUUAUAUUACUGUGCUCUGAGAGAUGUAGCCCAGUGA